GGGCGUGUGGCUCAGUUGGUAGAGCGUUCGCUUAGCAUGCGUACUUACCAAACCCGUGUAUGCGAAAGGUCCUGGGUUCGAUUCCCAGCUCGUCCA